AAAAGGGCUACAUUGAACAUAAUGAUCGUUUCUCCACCAACUCUGAAUCCACUGUAUUCGAAACUUCAGUUAAUGAUGACUGAGCGAGAAUCCUUGACAGAUGAUAGUUAUAGAACAAAUUCUUGUCAGGAUGCAGUUACUUGCCAAAUCCCUAAUUUUUGCCUAAAUUGCCCCAGGGUGAGGUACUCAAUCUAGCGGGAUAUAUAUUCAUCAUUUUUUCAUGUCUCUAAC
rnacentral:lncRNA from 1 species